UUUUUCUUUUCUUUCUUUUCUUUUUUGGUCAAGAAGCAAAAUUGCAGAAAAAUUAAGUGACCGGGUCAAGAUCACGUAUCUAGUUAGGAAGCAAGAAUUUGACAAUUUCAUGAAUCUAUUGUAAAGUAAGGCCCCUCCAGGCCUCAUCCCGAGGACAUCCUCACAGUUUGUGCUUCCUGAGGUUACAUUUUGGAGGCUACAAAGGAAGCAGAGCCAAUAAACCCAACCUUCUUCCUCCAUAAGGAUUCAUCAUCUCAUGAUGGAAAGAACUCUGGAAUCAGAGGACCCAAAUUCAGAUCCUGGCUCUAACAUUUGCCAGGGGUAGCUAAGCUACGUAGCACAGAAGCUAAAGCACUGGACCCUCAAUCAAGAAGACCUGAGUUCAAAUCUUAUCCCAGACACUUGGUAUCUUUUGGGACUCCUGUCCAUCUUCAGGAACUACUCAGGUCAGAUGUACCAGUGGACUAAUUCAAUAGACUGUCCAUCCAGCUGCAUGCCUCUGGUCUCACAAAUAGACAUUCUUCUUCCAUUUAACAGCCAAUGGAAAUAGUCUCUGGAUGUCUUAAUGCUGAAUGACUGCUCAAUCAGGGACAUUAGAAGAAUGAAGGAGAGAGGGUAAAGUAUUAAAAUAUUAAUUUUAA
rnacentral:lncRNA from 1 species